AUGCUGUCCUUCCAUCCGGUCUGUCUCCUGUGCUGUCCUUCCAUCCGUCCGGUCUGUCUCCUGUGCUGUCCAUCCAUCCGUUCAGUCUGUCUCCUAUGCUGUCCUUCCAUCCGGUCUGUCUCCUGUGCUGUCCUUCCAUCCGUCCGGUCUGUCUCCUGUGCUGUCCUUCCAUCCGUCCGGUCUGUCUCCUGUGCUGUCCUUCCAUCCGUCCGGUCUGUCUCCUGUGCUGUCCGUCCGGUCUAUCUCCUGUGCUGUCCGUCCGGUCUGUCUCCUGUGCUGUCCGUCCGGUCUGUCUCCUGUGCUGUCCGUCCGGUCUGUCUCCUGUGCUGUCCGUCCGGUCUGUCUCCUGUGCUGUCCGUCCGGUCUGUCUCCUGUGCUGUCCGUCCGGUCUGUCUCCUGUGCUGUCCUUCCAUCCGUUCAGUCUGUCUCCUAUGCUGUCCUUCCAUCCGGUCUGUCUCCUGUGCUGUCCUUCCAUCCGUCCGGUCUAUCUCCUGUGCUGUCCGUCCGGUCUGUCUCCUGUGCUGUCCGUCCGGUCUGUCUCCUGUGCUGUCCGUCCGGUCUGUCUCCUGUGCUGUCCUUCCAUCCGUCCGGUCUAUCUCCUGUGCUGUCCGUCCGGUCUGUCUCCUGUGCUGUCCGUCCGGUCUGUCUCCUGUGCUGUCCUUCCAUCCGUUCAGUCUGUCUCCUAUGCUGUCCUUCCAUCCGGUCUGUCUCCUGUGCUGUCCUUCCAUCCGUCCGGUCUAUCUCCUGUGCUGUCCGUCCGGUCUGUCUCCUGUGCUGUCCGUCCGGUCUGUCUCCUGUGCUGUCCGUCCGGUCUGUCUCCUGUGCUGUCCGUCCGGUCUGUCUCCUGUGCUGUCCGUCCGGUCUGUCUCCUGUGCUGUCCGUCCGGUCUGUCUCCUGUGCUGUCCGUCCGGUCUGUCUCCUGUGCUGUCCGUCCGGUCUGUCUCCCGUGCUGUCCGUCCGGUCUGUCUCCCGUUCUGUCCGUCCAUCCGUCCGGUCUGUCUCCUGUGCUGUCCAGCCGUCUGGUCUGUCUCUGUGUUAGGGAAGGCACUAUGA
rnacentral:lncRNA from 8 species